GGCUCAUUAAAUCAGUUAU
rnacentral:ncRNA from 2 species